UGCUGACGUGCCCCUAGCAGUGAAUGCUUUCCUGUAACAUCUUAUGCUCUUUCUGGCCUACUACUGUGUUAUGGUUAUACUUCACGUGUGUCAAACUCUACUUUAUUAUCUUGGUACUUGCCCACAGAGGAUACAGACAUGGACACUGACUGAUUGGCCACGCCUCAAACUCCGUUAUUCAGCCUCUCCAUGUGCAAACUUUUCCUGAAGCACUAAAUUGGACUCAACACAAGCGACAGAUGUGAUGAACUGAC